rnacentral:rRNA from 1 species
GACGAACGCUGGCGGCGUGCCUAACACAUGCAAGUCGAGCGAAUGAAGUUCCUUCGGGAACGGAUUUAGCGGCGGACGGGUGAGUAACACGUGGGCAACCUGCCUCAUAGAGGGGAAUAGCCUUCCGAAAGGGAGAUUAAUACCGCAUAAGAUUGUAGUACCGCAUGGUACAGCAAUUAAAGGAGCAAUCCGCUAUGAGAUGGGCCCGCGGCGCAUUAGCUAGUUGGUGAGGUAACGGCUCACCAAGGCGACGAUGCGUAGCCGACCUGAGAGGGUGAUCGGCCACAUUGGGACUGAGACACGGCCCAGACUCCUACGGGAAGCAGCAGUGGGGAAUAUUGCACAAUGGGGGAAACCCUGAUGCAGCAACGCCGCGUGAGUGAUGACGGCCUUCGGGUUGUAAAGCUCUGUCUUCAGGGACGAUAAUGACGGUACCUGAGGAGGAAGCCACGGCUAACUACGUG